UUUUUAGCAUAAGUAUAUCUCAUGCAAUUAUUUGGGAUAUACUUAUACUAAAA
rnacentral:pre_miRNA from 1 species